GCUUCACUCGUCCAAUUGGCAGGACGCCUGGCUUCCACCCAGGAAAUGCGGGUUCGAGUCCCGCGUGAAGCUC
rnacentral:tRNA from 6 species